GACGAACCCUGGCGGCGUGCUUAACACAUGCAAGUCGAACGGAAAGGCCCUGCUUUUGUGGGGUGCUCGAGUGGCGAACGGGUGAGUAACACGUGAGUAACCUGCCCUUGACUUUGGGAUAACUUCAGGAAACUGGGGCUAAUACCGGAUAGGAGCUCCUGCUGCAUGGUGGGGGUUGGAAAGUUUCGGCGGUUGGGGAUGGACUCGCGGCUUAUCAGCUUGUAGGUGGGGUAGUGGCUUACCAAGGCUUUGACGGGUAGCCGGCCUGAGAGGGUGACCGGCCACAUUGGGACUGAGAUACGGCCCAGACUCCUACGGGAGGCAGCAGUGGGGAAUAUUGCACAAUGGGCGGAAGCCUGAUGCAGCAACGCCGCGUGCGGGAUGACGGCCUUCGGGUUGUAAACCGCUUUCGCCUGUGACGAAGCGUGAGUGACGGUAAUGGGUAAAGAAGCACCGGCUAACUACGUGCCAGCAGCCGCGGUGAUACGUAGGGUGCGAGCGUUGUCCGGAUUUAUUGGGCGUAAAGGGCUCGUAGGUGGUUGAUCGCGUCGGAAGUGUAAUCUUGGGGCUUAACCCUGAGCGUGCUUUCGAUACGGGUUGACUUGAGGAAGGUAGGGGAGAAUGGAAUUCCUGGUGGAGCGGUGGAAUGCGCAGAUAUCAGGAGGAACACCAGUGGCGAAGGCGGUUCUCUGGGCCUUUCCUGACGCUGAGGAGCGAAAGCGUGGGGAGCGAACAGGCUUAGAUACCCUGGUAGUCCACGCUGUAAACGGUGGGUACUAGGUGUGGGGUCCAUUCCACGGGUUCCGUGCCGUAGCUAACGCUUUAAGUACCCCGCCUGGGGAGUACGGCCGCAAGGCUAAAACUCAAAGGAAUUGACGGGGCCCCGCACAAGCGGCGGAGCAUGCGGAUUAAUUCGAUGCAACGCGUAGAACCUUACCUGGGUUUGACAUGGAUCGGGAGUGCUCAGAGAUGGGUGUGCCUCUUUUGGGGUCGGUUCACAGGUGGUGCAUGCCUGUCGUCAGCUCGUGUCGUGAGAUGUUGGGUUAAGUCCCGCAACGAGCGCAACCCUUGUUCACUGUUGCCAGCACGUUAUGGUGGGGACUCAGUGGAGACCGCCGGGGUCAACUCGGAGGAAGGUGGGGAUGACGUCAAGUCCUCAUGCCCCUUAUGUCCAGGGCUUCACGCAUGCUACAAUGGCUGGUACAGAGAGUGGCGAGCCUGUGAGGGUGAGCGAAUCUCGGAAAGCCGGUCUCAGUUCGGAUUGGGGUCUGCAACUCGACCUCAUGAAGUCGGAGUCGCUAGUAAUCGCAGAUCAGCAACGCUGCGGUGAAUACGUUCCCGGG
rnacentral:rRNA from 1 species